rnacentral:rRNA from 1 species
UACGGAGGGUGCAAGCGUUAAUCGGAAUGAUUGGGCGUAAAGAGCGCGUAGGUGGUUUAUCAAGUGAGUUGUGAAAUAUCUGGGCUUAACCUGGGGAUGUCAACUCAAACGGGUAGACUAGAGUACAGUAGAGGGUCGUGGAAUUUCCGGUGUAGCGGUGAAAUGCGUAGAGAUCGGAAGGAACAUCAGUGGCGAAGGCGGCGACCUGGACUGAAACUGACACUGAGGCGCGAAAGCGUGGGGAGCAAACAGG